UACGGAGGGGGCUAGCGUUGUUCGGAAUUACUGGGCGUAAAGCGCACGUAGGCGGCUUUGUAAGUUAGAGGUGAAAGCCCGGGGCUCAACUCCGGAAUUGCCUUUAAGACUGCAUCGCUAGAAUUGUGGAGAGGUAAGUGGAAUUCCGAGUGUAGAGGUGAAAUUCGUAGAUAUUCGGAGGAACACCAGUGGCGAAGGCGGCUCACUGUCCGGUACUGACGCUGAGGUGCGAAAGCGUGGGGAGCAAACAGG
rnacentral:rRNA from 1 species